CGGGAAACCGGAGCUAAUACCGGAUAAUAUUUCGAACCGCAUGGUUCGAUAGUGAAAGAUGGUUUUGCUAUCACUUAUAGAUGGACCCGCGCCGUAUUAGCUAGUUGGUAAGGUAACGGCUUACCAAGGCGACGAUACGUAGCCGACCUGAGAGGGUGAUCGGCCACACUGGAACUGAGACACGGUCCAGACUCCUACGGGAGGCAGCAGCC
rnacentral:rRNA from 1 species